rnacentral:rRNA from 1 species
GGAUUAGAUACCCGGGUAGUCCACGCCGUAAACGAUGUCUACUAGUCGUUGGGUCCCUUGAGGACUUAGUGACGCAGCUAACGCAAUAAGUAGACCGCCUGGGGAGUACGGCCGCAAGGUUAAAACUCAAAUGAAUUGACGGGGGCCCGCACAAGCGGUCUUACCUGGUCUUGACAUAUCUAGAAUCCUGCAGAGAUGCGGGAGUGCCUUCGGGAAUUAGAAUACAGGUGCUGUAUGGCUGUCGUCAGCUCGUGUCGUGAGAUGUUGGGUUAAGUCCCGCAACGAGCGCAACCCUUUUCCUUAGUUACCAGCGGGUUAAGCCGGGAACUCUAAGGAUACUGCCAGUGACAAACUGGAGGAAGGCGGGACGACGUCAAGUCAUCAUGGCCCU